rnacentral:rRNA from 1 species
UCGUGCAUGGUCUAGUAUAGCAUUAUACCGCGAAACUGCGAAUGGCUCAUUAUAUAAGUUAUCGUUUAUUUGAUAGUACCUUACUACUUGGAUAACCGUGGUAAUUCUAGAGCUAAUACAUGCUAAAAAUCCCGACUUCGGAAGGGAUGUAUUUAUUAGAUUAAAAACCAAUGCCCUUCGGGGCUCACUGGUGAUUCAUGAUAACUCCUCGAAUCGCAUGGCCUUGUGCCGGCGAUGGUUCAUUCAAAUUUCUUCCCUAUCAACUUUCGAUGUUUGGGUAUUGGCCAAACAUGGUUGCAACGGUAA